rnacentral:rRNA from 1 species
AGAGUUUGAUCCUGGCUCAGAUUGAACGCUGGCGGCAUGCCUUACACAUGCAAGUCGAACGGCAGCACGGAGCUUGCUCUGGUGGCGAGUGGCGAACGGGUGAGUAAUAUAUCGGAACGUACCCUAGAGUGGGGGAUAACGUAGCGAAAGUUACGCUAAUACCGCAUACGAUCUAAGGAUGAAAGUGGGGGAUCGCAAGACCUCAUGCUCGUGGAGCGGCCGAUAUCUGAUUAGCUAGUUGGUAGGGUAAAAGCCUACCAAGGCAUCGAUCAGUAGCUGGUCUGAGAGGACGACCAGCCACACUGGAACUGAGACACGGUCCAGACUCCUACGGGAGGCAGCAGUGGGGAAUUUUGGACAAUGGGCGAAAGCCUGAUCCAGCAAUGCCGCGUGAGUGAAGAAGGCCUUCGGGUUGUAAAGCUCUUUUGUCAGGGAAGAAACGGUGGGAGCUAAUAUCUCUUGCUAAUGACGGUACCUGAAGAAUAAGCACCGGCUAACUACGUGCCAGCAGCCGCGGUAAUACGUAGGGUGCAAGCGUUAAUCGGAAUUACUGGGCGUAAAGCGUGCGCAGGCGGUUUUGUAAGUCUGAUGUGAAAUCCCCGGGCUCAGCCUGGGAAUUGCAUUGGAGACUGCUAGGCUAGAAUCUGGCAGAGGGGGGUAGAAUUCCACGUGUAGCAGUGAAAUGCGUAGAUAUGUGGAGGACACCGAUGGCGAAGGCAGCCCCUGGGGUCAGAUUGACGCUCAUG